rnacentral:misc_RNA from 1 species
GUUUGAAUUUUUUACCAAUACAAAUUUUCAAUGAUUUGUUUAUAUGUUUGAUGUCCAACACAUGAUUUCCUUGUAUAAAGAGUAAUAGUAAGCAAUGUUAUUUUACCCCAUCAAAAGGCAAUCUUUCCUUCAAUGGGGCUACGUUUUGAGUUUUCGCCAACACAAACUUUCAAUGAUUGCCUUGCAUAUUUGCUUUCCAGUCCAUAAUUUCCUUUUUAGCUAAUGAUUUCCUUAUUUCUUGACUCUAGAGUAAUAAUAAGCAAUCUUAUAUUCCCCCCCCCCC